rnacentral:rRNA from 1 species
AGUGCCUACGGGGGGCAGCAGUGAGGAAUAUUGGUCAAUGGCCGGAAGGCUGAACCAGCCAAGUCGCGUGAGGGAAUAAGGCCCUAUGGGUCGUAAACCUCUUUUGUCAGGGAGCAAAGGCGUCCACGUGUGGACGAGAGGAGAGUACCUGAAGAAAAAGCAUCGGCUAACUCCGGGCCAGCAGCCGCGGUAAUACGGAGGAUGCGAGCGUUAUCCGGAUUUAUUGGGUUUAAAGGGGGCGGAGGCGGAGUGUCAAGGCAGCGGUAGAAUUUCGGGGCCCAACCCCGUCGUGACGAUGAAACUGA